AGAUUGAACGCUGGCGGCAUGCCUUACACAUGCAAGUCGAACGGCAGCACGGGGGCAACCCUGGUGGCGAGUGGCGAACGGGUGAGUAACAUAUCGGAACGUGCCCUGGAGUGGGGGAUAACUAGUCGAAAGACUAGCUAAUACCGCAUACGAUCUACGGAUGAAAGUGGGGGAUCGCAAGACCUCAUGCUCGUGGAGCGGCCGAUAUCUGAUUAGCUAGUUGGUGGGUAAAGGCCUACCAAGGCAUCGAUCAGUAGCUGGUCUGGAGAGGACGACCAGCCACACUGGGACUGAGACACGGCCCAGACUCCUACGGGAGGCAGCAGUGGGAAUUUUGGACAAGUGGGCGCAAGCCUGAUCCAGCAAUGCCGCGUGAGUGAAGAAGGCCUUCGGUUGUAAAGCUUACUUUUGUACGAGGAAGAAACGGUUCUGGCGUAAUAUCUGAGUACUAAUGAACGUACGUACGAAAGAAUAAG
rnacentral:rRNA from 1 species